rnacentral:piRNA from 1 species
UCCUUCCUGAGUAUUUGUGACCCUGUGU